UACGUAGGCAGCGAGCGUUUGUUCGGAGUUACUGGGCGUAAAGGGUGUGUAGGCGGUUGUUUAAGUUUGGUGUGAAAUCUCCCGGCUCAACUGGGAGGGUGCGCCGAAUACUGAAUGACUUCGAGUGCGGGAGAGGAGAGUGGAAUUCCUGGUGUAGCGGUGAAAUGCGUAGAUAUCAGGAGGAACACCGGUGGCGAAGGCGGUCUCUGGCGAUGUCCUGACGCUGAGGAGCGAAAGUGUGGGGAGCGAACAGG
rnacentral:rRNA from 1 species